rnacentral:rRNA from 2 species
AGCGAACGCUGGCGGCAGGCUUAACACAUGCAAGUCGAACGGGCGUAGCAAUACGUCAGUGGCAGACGGGUGAGUAACACGUGGGAACGUACCUUUUGGUUCGGAACAACUGAGGGAAACUUCAGCUAAUACCGGAUAAGCCCUUACGGGGAAAGAUUUAUCGCCGAAAGAUCGGCCCGCGUCUGAUUAGCUAGUUGGUGGGGUAAGAGCCCACCAAGGCGACGAUCAGUAGCUGGUCUGAGAGGAUGAUCAGCCACAUUGGGACUGAGACACGGCCCAAACUCCUACGGGAGGCAGCAGUGGGGAAUAUUGGACAAUGGGCGAAAGCCUGAUCCAGCCAUGCCGCGUGAGUGAUGAAGGCCCUAGGGUUGUAAAGCUCUUUUAACGGGGAAGAUAAUGACGGUACCCGUAGAAUAAGCCCCGGCUAACUUCGUG